rnacentral:rRNA from 1 species
AACGAACGCUGGCGGCAGGCUUAACACAUGCAAGUCGAACGCCCCGCAAGGGGAGUGGCAGACGGGUGAGUAACGCGUGGGAAUCUACCCAGUUCUACGGAACAACUGAGGGAAACUUCAGCUAAUACCGUAUACGCCCUGCGGGGGAAAGAUUUAUCGGAAUUGGAUGAGCCCGCGUUGGAUUAGCUAGUUGGUGAGGUAACGGCUCACCAAGGCGACGAUCCAUAGCUGGUCUGAGAGGAUGAUCAGCCACACUGGGACUGAGACACGGCCCAGACUCCUACGGGAGGCAGCAGUGGGGAAUAUUGGACAAUGGGCGCAAGCCUGAUCCAGCCAUGCCGCGUGAGUGAUGAAGGCCUUAGGGUUGUAAAGCUCUUUCAGUGGGGACGAUAAUGACGGUACCCACAGAAGAAGCCCCGGCUAACUUCGUGCCAGCCGCCGCAGUAAUAC